AUCUUUUUUUAUUUACAACUUACAGUAAAUGUUUUUUUUCACAGGUGGAAAAGUUUUAAAUACAAAAAUCUUUCGUAAAGCCGAGCUGAGACCCAGCCCGCUAAAAAAAUUCAUUAAUGAUUCUUCCGCAGGUUCACACUUACGAAAA
rnacentral:misc_RNA from 1 species